ACCAGACUCCUACGGGAGGCAGCAGUGGGGAAUAUUGCACAAUGGGGGAAACCCUGAUGCAGCGACGCCGCGUGAGUGAAGAAGUAUUUCGGUAUGUAAAGCUCUCUCAGCAGGGAAGAAGAAGGACGGUACCUGAGUAAGAAGCCCCGGCUAACUACGUGCCAGCAGCCGCGGUAAUACGUAGGGGGCAAGCGUUAUCCGGAUUUACUGGGUGUAAAGGGGGCGCAGACGGCGAUGCAAGCCAGGAGUGAAAGCCCGGGGCCCAACCCCGGGACUGCUCUUGGAACUGCGUGGCUGGAGUGCAGGAGGGGCAGGCGGAAUUCCUGGUGUAGCGGUGAAAUGCGUAGAUAUCAGGAGGAACACCGGUGGCGAAGGCGGCCUGCUGGACUGCAACUGACGUUGAGGCCCGAAAGCGUGGGGAGCAAACAGGAUUAGAUACCCUCGUA
rnacentral:rRNA from 1 species